rnacentral:rRNA from 1 species
AGUUCGGAUUGGAGUCUGAAACUCGACUCUAUGAAGUUGGAAUUGCUAGUAAUCGCGGAUCAGCACGCCGCGGUGAAUACGUUCCCGGGCCUUGUACACACCGCCCGUCAAGCCAUGGAAGCCGGGGGUACCCAAAGCCAGUAUUCUAACCGCAAGGAGGAAACUGUUUAAGGUAAAACCGGUGACUGGGGCUAAGUCGUAACAAGGUAGCCGUACCGGAAGGUGCGGCUGGAUCACCUCCUUUCUAAG